AACGAACGCUGGCGGCGUGGCUAAGGCAUGCAAGUCGAACGGUACGGUGUAGCAAUAUGCCGUAUAGUGGCGGACGGGUGAGUAAUUCAUGGAUAACGUACCUCGGAUUCAGGGAUAACGGCGGGAAACCCUUUGCGAAAGUGCCGCUAAUACCUGAUGACCCCGCGGAGCCGCAUGGUUCUGCGGGACAAAGUUCCGGCGAUCCGAGAUCGGUCCAUGUCCUAUCAGC
rnacentral:rRNA from 1 species